GAAGGAAACUAUAACAAAGUUGGGGCUGAAAAGGAAACUACCAUAAAGUUGGGUGUCAAAAGCAAACUAUUUGUAAAAUGGAGUAGUAGUUUAGGGACUAAAUUUGCCAUUUUAUAAAACUUUGAAGGUACCAAAGUCAAGGGGCUAAAGUUGUAACAUCGUGAAAGUAUGGGGGAGGGGGAGGCAAAGCCGAUGGGGUUUCCACCGACUUUGUCUUUUAAGAUAAGAAGGAAACUAUAACAAAGUUGGGGCUGAAAAGAAAACUGCCACAAAGUUAGGGUGUCAAAAGCAAGUUAUUUGUAAAAUGGAGUAGUAGUUUAGGGACUAAAUUUGCCAUUUUAUGAAACUUUGAAGAUAUCAAAGUCAAGGGGCUAAAGUUGUAACAUCGUGAAAGUAUGGGAAAGGGGGAGGUAAAGCCGGUGGGGUUUCCACCGAAUUUGUGAGUCAUAGGAAUGUUUCUGAUUUACUGUAUAUCCAAACUUGAGUUUCGCUAAUAACGCCAUUUGGUAAGAAUUUUCACUGCCGUCUGUGAUCAUCCUUUAUGGAUAUCCGAAAUAAUCAAACAGAGAUGAAAGAAAAGAAUUUGCAGUCAAAUGUGGGGAUCAGUUCAUCUAACAAUCUGAUGCACCACGAAAGCUGAAGCAAUUCAUCUUGAAUCAAUUAGAUACAAAAUCCCAAAUGAACAACUAAGGGGCUGUUUGUUUACCUCUUAAUGAGCCUCUUAAUAGUUCAGACCUCUUACUGGUUCAGCACUUAAUGGUUCAGACUGUUUGUUUCACGAGCAGAUGUCUGAAUGGUUCAGACAUUUGCCUCUGAAUGGUUAAGAUUUAUACAGAGUCUGAAUGGUUAAGACAUCUAAUCUGAAUUGGUCAGACAUUUGCCUCUGAACGGUUAAGCAUUAUACAGGCUCUUAAUGGUUCAGACCUCUUCUUACUGGUUCAGCACUUAAUGAUUCAGACCUCUUACUGUUUCAGCACUUAACCAUUCAGAUGUUGCCAAACAACCAACCUGCUACCAUCUAUUUAAUGGAAAU
rnacentral:lncRNA from 1 species